GCGCUGGUGGUCCAGUGGUCAAGACUGCUGCCUUCCAAGCAGCAUACCCGGGUUCGAAUCCCGGCCGGCGCA
rnacentral:tRNA from 1 species